GAUGGGGACUAUACUGGAGUUGUCCCACCUAUUUCCAUUCCGAACAUAGUAGUGAAAUACUCCAAGGCCGAUGAUAGUCUUCGGGCGAAAGUAGGUAGUCCCCAUCU
rnacentral:rRNA from 2 species